rnacentral:ncRNA from 1 species
AUGAUAGAGGCGCGGCUACGAUGAGUAGCGGACACGGCUUGGGCAAAUGCCGGUCCGGGAAAGGCGUCGCCGCCGAAGGUUGAGGGAUGCGCGCCCAAGCUUCCUCCUCCUGGGCUGCCGCAGAAUAUGCGGCGGACUGUCACAGGACCCGAACCCCUGUGGAGCGCUGUCA